rnacentral:rRNA from 1 species
UACGUAGGGUGCGAGCGUUGUCCGGAAUUAUUGGGCGUAAAGGGCUCGUAGGCGGUUUGUCGCGUCGGGGAGUGAAAACUCAGGGCUUAACCCUGAGCCUGCUUCCGAUACGGGCAGACUAGAGGUAUGCAGGGGAGAACGGAACUCCUGGUGUAGCGGUGAAAUGCGCAGAUAUCAGGAGGAACACCGGUGGCGAAGGCGGUUCUCUGGGCAUUACCUGACGCUGAGGAGCGAAAGCGUGGGGAGCGAACAGG